GGCCUCUGCUGUGGCGAACCCUCGAAAAAAAAUUAGUACUAAAGCAGAUUUAGCAGGAAUUCUUUAGCACCACCACCAGGCCAUUUACAAAAACGAUGAAGAGAUAGAUA